AUUGAACGCUGGCGGCAGGCCUAACACAUGCAAGUCGAACGGUAACAGGAAGAAGCUUGCUUCUUUGCUGACGAGUGGCGGACGGGUGAGUAAUGUCUGGGAUACUGCCUGAUGGAGGGGGAUAACUACUGGAAACGGUAGCUAAUACCGCAUAACGUCGCAAGACCAAAGAGGGGGACCUUCGGGCCUCUUGCCAUCGGAUGUGCCCAGAUGGGAUUAGCUAGUAGGUGGGGUAACGGCUCACCUAGGCGACGAUCCGUAGCUGGUCUGAGAGGAUGACCAGCCACACUGGAACUGUGACACGGUCCAGACGCCUACGGGAGGCAGCAGUGGGGAAUAUUGCACAAUGGGCGCAAACCUGAUGCAGCCAUGCCGCGUGUAUGAAGAAGGCCUUCGGGUUGUAAAGUACUUUCAGCGGGGAGGAAGGGAGUAAAGUUAAUACCUAUACUAAUUGACGUUACCAGCAGAAGAAGCACCGGCUAACUCCGUG
rnacentral:rRNA from 1 species